rnacentral:rRNA from 1 species
AUUGAACGCUGGCGGAAUGCUUUACAUAUGCAAGUCGAACGGCAGCACGGGGGCAACCCUGGUGGCGAGUGGCGAACGGGUGAGUAAUACAUCGGAACGUGCCCAGUCGUGGGGGAUAACGUAGCGAAAGUUACGCUAAUACCGCAUACGAUCUACGGAUGAAAGCGGGGGACCGUAAGGCCUCGCGCGAUUGGAGCGGCCGAUGUCAGAUUAGGUAGUUGGUGAGGUAAAGGCUCACCAAGCCGACGAUCUGUAGCUGGUCUGAGAGGACGACCAGCCACACUGGGACUGAGACACGGCCCAGACUCCUACGGGAGGCAGCAGUGGGGAAUUUUGGACAAUGGGCGCAAGCCUGAUCCAGCCAUUCCGCGUGCAGGACGAAGGCCUUCGGGUUGUAAACUGCUUUUGUACGGAACGAAAAGGCUCUGGUUAAUACCUGGAGCUCAUGACGGUACUGUAAGAAUAAGCACCGGCUAACUACGUGCCAGCCGCCGCCGUAA